rnacentral:rRNA from 1 species
AUUGAACGCUGGCGGCAGGCCUAACACAUGCAAGUCGAGCGGAUGAAGGGAGCUUGCUCCUGGAUUCAGCGGCGGACGGGUGAGUAAUGCCUAGGAAUCUGCCUGGUAGUUGGGGAUAACGUCCGGACACGGGCGCUAAUACCGCAUACGUCCUGAGGGAGAAAGUGGGGGAUCUUCGGACCUCACGCUAUCAGAUGAGCCUAGGUCGGAUUAGCUAGUUGGUGGGGUAAAGGCCUACCAAGGCGACGAUCCGUAACUGGUCUGAGAGGAUGAUCAGUCACACUGGAACUGAGACACGGUCCAGACUCCUACGGGAGGCAGCAGUGGGGAAUAUUGGACAAUGGGCGAAAGCCUGAUCCAGCCAUGCCGCGUGUGUGAAGAAGGUCUUCGGAUUGUAAAGCACUUUUAGUUGGGAGGAAGGGCAGUAAGUUAAUACCUUGCUGUUUUGACGUUACCAACAGAAUAAGCACCGGCUAACUUCGUG